UUAGGUCUGGGCGCUUGCUGCGUGGGUUGCCGGGACUUCUCAAGAUGGCAGCGUGCUAACCAGAGCUCUGUGGACUUGUGUUGUGUUUCGAGAGUAAAUCUGACGUACGACCGCUGGUGGUUGGGGAUCUACCUCAAGUGUACCUGGUGCGAUCGGCCCAAUUAUGUGUGUACACACAGGUUGACGCUAAGAAGUGUAACCAGUUCUACUUACACAAACUGGUCUCUUCCAAGGUGAUCUUUGGUCAUCUGAGUGGACGGCUUCAUCCUGAGAUAUCCCGAUAGGACAAGGAGGUUUGGGAUGGUUUGAAGCAGGUGUUACUUCACUUCCUUCAAGGUAGUACCACAAGUGCCAGUAUCUUCCUGCCAUCUUCUAUGAGCCUUAAACGUGUUGCUCUCAAUGAAGGAGCGUGCAGUGUCCAUGACUUCAGGAUACAGUUCCUUUAGUGCAGGACUACCCUAAGUUCAUUUCGCUUGGGAUUUCUGCCUUAGUGCUUUAUGCUUAGGACUUUCAUCAUGCCAACUUAUGUCCACUUUUGGACGGUUUAAUUCCAGUGUCUAUUGCUAUAAUAGAAAAACAUGCCUACCCCCAAAAACUGCUUUUAGAAUGAAAAAUCCCUAUUUUUAAGGCAAAACCAUACACUUAUGCUUGUUGAUAACUGAACUGCUUUACUGAUCGUGGGCUUAUUACUAAAACCAUUAUGAAGACUAAGUAUCAGUUGGCAAUAUGAAAUCAAGUGGCAAGGAUGGAGUCCCAGCCGCUGUGAUAUAAAACCCAUCAUAAGCAUGACCUUGUCUUUUUACUUGAAUACCUCCAGCAUUGAACCAUGAAAACACUUGGCAGCGUAUAAACCGCAAAACCUGUUCACAGCGCGGGCGGGCGAAC